rnacentral:rRNA from 1 species
UACGAAGGGUGCAAGCGUUAAUCGGAAUUACUGGGCGUAAAGUGUGCGCAGGCGGUCGAUCAAGUCGAGUGUGAAAGCCCCCGGCUCAACUGGGGAGGGUCAUUCGAUACUGAUCGACUCGAAGGCAGGAGAGGGUAGUGGAAUUCCCGGUGUAGUGGUGAAAUGCGUAGAUAUCGGGAGGAACACCAGUGGCGAAGGCGACUACCUGGCCUGUUCUUGACGCUGAGGCGCGAAAGCUAGGGGAGCAAACGGG